CGGCAGGCUUAACACAUGCAAGUCGAGGGGUAACAUUGUGCUUGCACAGAUGACGACCGGCGCACGGGUGCGUAACGCGUAUAGAACCUACCUUUUACAGAGGGAUAGCCUUUAGAAAUGAAGAUUAAUACCUCAUAGUAUUGCGAUUUGGCAUCAGAUUGUAAUUAAAGAUUUAUCGGUAAAAGAUGGCUAUGCGUCCUAUUAGUUAGUUGGUAAGGUAACGGCUUACCAAGACAUCGAUAGGUAGGGGUCCUGAGAGGGAGAUCCCCCACACUGGUACUGAGACACGGACCAGACUCCUACGGGAGGCAGCAGUGAGGAAUAUUGGACAAUGGAGGAGACUCUGAUCCAGCCAUGCCGCGUGCAGGAAGACUGCCCUAUGGGUUGUAAACUGCUUUUAUACAGGAAGAAACACUAGUACGUGUACUAGCUUGACGGUACUGUAAGAAUAAGGACCGGCUAACUCCGUGCCAGCAGCCGCGGUAAUACGGAGGGUCCGAGCGUUAUCCGGAAUCAUUGGGUUUAAAGGGUCCGCAGGCGGUCGAUUAAGUCAGAGGUGAAAUCCCAUAGCUUAACUAUGGAACUGCCUUUGAUACUGGUUGACUUGAGUCAUAUGGAAGUAGAUAGAAUGUGUAGUGUAGCGGUGAAAUGCAUAGAUAUUACACAGAAUACCGAUUGCGAAGGCAGUCUACUACGUAUGUACUGACGCUCAUGGACGAAAGCGUGGGGAGCGAACAGGAUUAGAUACCCUGGUAGUCCACGCCGUAAACGAUGGACACUAGUUGUUGGGAUUUAUCUCAGUGACUAAGCGAAAGUGAUAA
rnacentral:rRNA from 1 species